CGGGGGUUGCCGAUCCAUUUUGGUGCGUGUGGCAUGGUGUUGUGUUGGUGUUGUGGUGCGCAAGUGCCAAAUACAUAGUGCGCUCAUGGUGGGUGCACAAGCAUACGGGUGCCAAGCACAUAGUCCUUGGUGGCUAUUUUUCCCAUGGUUCCUUGGUGCAUCCAUGCACUUGGCAUGUGGUGCACCAGCGCGUAAGGUGUCCAUUGUGGCUAUGGUGCAUGUCACACGGUGCCUAUAUUCCACGGUUCCUUGGUAUACCAGUGCCCAUGGUGCCUUGGGGCCAUUUGUUCACGGUGCACGGUGCCCAUGGCCC
rnacentral:lncRNA from 1 species